CUUUGAAGAGAGAGUUCCAGAGUACGUGAAACCGUUCAGGGGUAAACCUGAGAAACCCGAAAGGUCGAAAGGGGAGAUUCAACGCGAAUCGGAGUUCGCGAGCGGCGCGUGCCGACGACGGGCCGUACCGUUUCGGUGGCUGGCCCGCUCCGCGCGUCGAACGAUCGGACACUGAACGCGUGCACUUCUCCUCCUGUAGGACGUCGCGACCCGUUGGGCGCCGGCCUAAGGACCGCGGUGGAGACCGGACUCGCCCCCGGGCGAGUGCGGACCCGCGGCCACCCGGCCGGUCCGACCGACGGUAUAACUAAGGCGCGGGGCCGCGAUUCGUUCGCGUCCGGCACGUCACAAGCGCGAACGGUUAAAGCGGGCCGUUCGGGCCUCGUACCGGAUCCCGACCCGUUCGGNUGUUAGCGGCGCAGUCCUCGGACAGACCCCGCGCCAGUCCGCGGCGCUAUAGCUUUGGGUACUUUCAGGACCCGUCUUGA
rnacentral:rRNA from 1 species